GGGUUGUGAGGUUAAGCGACUAAGCGUACACGGUGGAUGCCCUGGCAGUCAGAGGCGAUGAAGGACGUGCUAAUCUGCGAUAAGCGUCGGUAAGGUGAUAUGAACCGUUAUAACCGGCGAUUUCCGAAUGGGGAAACCCAGUGUGUUUCGACACACUAUCAUUAACUGAAUCCAUAGGUUAAUGAGGCGAACCGGGGGAACUGAAACAUCUAAGUACCCCGAGGAAAAGAAAUCAACCGAGAUUCCCCCAGUAGCGGCGAGCGAACGGGGAGCAGCCCAGAGCCUGAAUCAGUGUGUGUGUUAGUGGAAGCGUCUGGAAAGGCGCGCGAUACAGGGUGACAGCCCCGUACACAAAAAUGCACAUGCUGUGAGCUCGAUGAGUAGGGCGGGACACGUGGUAUCCUGUCUGAAUAUGGGGGGACCAUCCUCCAAGGCUAAAUACUCCUGACUGACCGAUAGUGAACCAGUACCGUGAGGGAAAGGCGAAAAGAACCCCGGCGAGGGGAGUGAAAAAGAACCUGAAACCGUGUACGUACAAGCAGUGGGAGCACGCUUAGGCGUGUGACUGCGUACCUUUUGUAUAAUGGGUCAGCGACUUAUAUUCUGUAGCAAGGUUAACCGAAUAGGGGAGCCGAAGGGAAACCGAGUCUUAACUGGGCGUUAAGUUGCAGGGUAUAGACCCGAAACCCGGUGAUCUAGCCAUGGGCAGGUUGAAGGUUGGGUAACACUAACUGGAGGACCGAACCGACUAAUGUUGAAAAAUUAGCGGAUGACUUGUGGCUGGGGGUGAAAGGCCAAUCAAACCGGGAGAUAGCUGGUUCUCCCCGAAAGCUAUUUAGGUAGCGCCUCGUGAAUUCAUCUCCGGGGGUAGAGCACUGUUUCGGCAAGGGGGUCAUCCCGACUUACCAACCCGAUGCAAACUGCGAAUACCGGAGAAUGUUAUCACGGGAGACACACGGCGGGUGCUAACGUCCGUCGUGAAGAGGGAAACAACCCAGACCGCCAGCUAAGGUCCCAAAGUCAUGGUUAAGUGGGAAACGAUGUGGGAAGGCCCAGACAGCCAGGAUGUUGGCUUAGAAGCAGCCAUCAUUUAAAGAAAGCGUAAUAGCUCACUGGUCGAGUCGGCCUGCGCGGAAGAUGUAACGGGGCUAAACCAUGCACCGAAGCUGCGGCAGCGACACUAUGUGUUGUUGGGUAGGGGAGCGUUCUGUAAGCCUGUGAAGGUGUACUGUGAGGUAUGCUGGAGGUAUCAGAAGUGCGAAUGCUGACAUAAGUAACGAUAAAGCGGGUGAAAAGCCCGCUCGCCGGAAGACCAAGGGUUCCUGUCCAACGUUAAUCGGGGCAGGGUGAGUCGACCCCUAAGGCGAGGCCGAAAGGCGUAGUCGAUGGGAAACAGGUUAAUAUUCCUGUACUUGGUGUUACUGCGAAGGGGGGACGGAGAAGGCUAUGUUGGCCGGGCGACGGUUGUCCCGGUUUAAGCGUGUAGGCUGGUUUUCCAGGCAAAUCCGGAAAAUCAAGGCUGAGGCGUGAUGACGAGGCACUACGGUGCUGAAGCAACAAAUGCCCUGCUUCCAGGAAAAGCCUCUAAGCAUCAGGUAACAUCAAAUCGUACCCCAAACCGACACAGGUGGUCAGGUAGAGAAUACCAAGGCGCUUGAGAGAACUCGGGUGAAGGAACUAGGCAAAAUGGUGCCGUAACUUCGGGAGAAGGCACGCUGAUAUGUAGGUGAAGUCCCUCGCGGAUGGAGCUGAAAUCAGUCGAAGAUACCAGCUGGCUGCAACUGUUUAUUAAAAACACAGCACUGUGCAAACACGAAAGUGGACGUAUACGGUGUGACGCCUGCCCGGUGCCGGAAGGUUAAUUGAUGGGGUUAGCGCAAGCGAAGCUCUUGAUCGAAGCCCCGGUAAACGGCGGCCGUAACUAUAACGGUCCUAAGGUAGCGAAAUUCCUUGUCGGGUAAGUUCCGACCUGCACGAAUGGCGUAAUGAUGGCCAGGCUGUCUCCACCCGAGACUCAGUGAAAUUGAACUCGCUGUGAAGAUGCAGUGUACCCGCGGCAAGACGGAAAGACCCCGUGAACCUUUACUAUAGCUUGACACUGAACAUUGAGCCUUGAUGUGUAGGAUAGGUGGGAGGCUUUGAAGUGUGGACGCCAGUCUGCAUGGAGCCGAUCUUGAAAUACCACCCUUUAAUGUUUGAUGUUCUAACGUUGACCCGUAAUCCGGGUUGCGGACAGUGUCUGGUGGGUAGUUUGACUGGGGCGGUCUCCUCCUAAAGAGUAACGGAGGAGCACGAAGGUUGGCUAAUCCUGGUCGGACAUCAGGAGGUUAGUGCAAUGGCAUAAGCCAGCUUGACUGCGAGCGUGACGGCGCGAGCAGGUGCGAAAGCAGGUCAUAGUGAUCCGGUGGUUCUGAAUGGAAGGGCCAUCGCUCAACGGAUAAAAGGUACUCCGGGGAUAACAGGCUGAUACCGCCCAAGAGUUCAUAUCGACGGCGGUGUUUGGCACCUCGAUGUCGGCUCAUCACAUCCUGGGGCUGAAGUAGGUCCCAAGGGUAUGGCUGUUCGCCAUUUAAAGUGGUACGCGAGCUGGGUUUAGAACGUCGUGAGACAGUUCGGUCCCUAUCUGCCGUGGGCGCUGGAGAACUGAGGGGGGCUGCUCCUAGUACGAGAGGACCGGAGUGGACGCAUCACUGGUGUUCGGGUUGUCAUGCCAAUGGCACUGCCCGGUAGCUAAAUGCGGAAGAGAUAAGUGCUGAAAGCAUCUAAGCACGAAACUUGCCCCGAGAUGAGUUCUCCCUGACUCCUUGAGAGUCCUGAAGGAACGUUGAAGACGACGACGUUGAUAGGCCGGGUGUGUAAGCGCAGCGAUGCGUUGAGCUAACCGGUACUAAUGAACCGUGAGGCUUAACCUUACAACGCCGAAGCUGUU
rnacentral:rRNA from 1 species